rnacentral:rRNA from 1 species
UUAUUGAGUCUAAAGCGUUCGUAGCCGGUCCGUUAAAUCCUUGGGUAAAUCGGGAAGCUCAACUUUCCGACUUCCGAGGAGACUGGCGGACUUGGGACCGGGAGAGGCCAGAGGUACUUCUGGGGUAGGGGUAAAAUCCUGUAAUCCUAGAAGGACCACCGGUGGCGAAGGCGUCUGGCUAGAACGGAUCCGACGGUGAGGGACGAAGCCCUGGGUCGCAAACGGGAUUAGAUACCCCGGUAGUCCAGGGUGUAAACGCUGCCGACUUGGUGUUGGGGGCCCUUCGUGGGAACUCAGUGCCGGAGAGAAGUUGUUAAGUCGGCCACUUGGGGAGUACGUCCGCAAGGAUGAAACUUAAAGGAAUUGGCGGGGGAGCAC